UUCCGUAGGUGAACCUGCGGAAGGAUCAAUUAUACGAAUCAACAACCAAAACCCCAACCCUACUGUGUGCUAUGGCCUUACAGCCAUAGCACAGGCGGUGGACUCGCGCAAGCUCCGCUUGUUAGCGCUCCAUCAUUUCUCACCCAUGUUUUUUACUCCUUUUAUUUUUUCGAAAGAGAUUGAAAUCACUUUACAACUUUUAGCGAUGGAUGUCUCGGCUCAGGCAACGAUGAAGGACGCCGCUAAAUGCGAUAAGCGCUGUGAAUGGCAGAAUUCCGCGAAUCAAGAGAAUGUUGAACGCAUACUGCACUUCGAGCUUACGCUCGAAGUAUGUCUGGUUCAGGGCUGUUAGCACCUCAUGUUGCCAACGAUGCAGUGGUUUCCGCUGCUACUUGGUAUACGUUCGUGUGCGCCAGCGACGGGAUCCUUUGGAUGAACCGGUGGCGCAUGAAAUAUACGAACCACGAUGGUCAGUGUAAUCACGCUUUGUGUUAACUCCGGUUUUCUGAGCUUGCUGUCACUGCCACGGGUUUUGAAGCCUUUUUUUUUGGCAUGAACUCAGACAGGGCUACCCGCUGAAUUUAAGCAUAUCA
rnacentral:rRNA from 1 species